rnacentral:lncRNA from 1 species
GCCUGGGCCCCCUCCUGCUCCGGUAAGGCGUGGGUUUCGAUGGGAGGCACAGAGAGAGAGAGCGGGAAUAGGCGCAGGCGGAGGCCAGAGUUCUGCUGUAGAGUGGGGGUAGUCCAAGACCGAGCCUUGUGGAAGGUUGGGGUGCAGCCGGGUCCGGAAUCCCAGGCGGCUCCCCUGCACUGCUGGGCUUUGCAAUUCAGCGGCUGUUGCCAUUGUCCCCCCGUACUUUCUUGACCUGGAAGUUUGUCCCAAGCGCAGCGCACAUCUUUGGAAGGGGAGGGGGCUCUUAGAUGCAGAAUCUCCCUCCUCCCGUCCCUCUCUCUGUGCCCCCUCCCCCAAUCCAUCCAAAGUCCACAGGGUCCGGGUCCUGGGCGAGCUGAGUGUCUGUCUCCCGCAGAGCACUCUCGCAAAGUUGAUUCGGGCGGUUUCCUGAUGGGGGCGGGGAGACCGGAGGCGCGGCGCCGGCGCGGGGGAAGGAGUGGACCGGGAAGCGCCUCGGGUUCCAGAAUGACGCUCGGCCCAUGGACAGAGCCUGCCCAGUCACUCUCGGCUGCUAUUGAUCCCGAGGAUGAUGGCCGCCCCUAGCCAUUUCCCUCCUCUCUCUUCGGUUCCAGAACAGCCCAAGGAGCAGAAAAGAGUGACAAGGCCGUGAAAGGAGGCGCCUGGGGCGUAGCCGGCUCUAGGAGGUUACCCCAUGCGGAGUACACACCCUGCUACACCCAUCCCGGAGGAGGGAGGAAAUAGCCAGCCCGGAGCACCCCUGGACUCUGCCGGUCCCAGAGGCCACGCAAACUCCGCCCAGACUCGGUGAGGCCGCGGUAAUGCCACGCAGGGAACUGCGUGGAUAAGGUCGCUCGGAUCUGAGCGCCAAGGUCUCCCGCCUCUCCUUCCCGUCUAGUUCUCUCCGGACUCAAAUUGCCUUAAUCUCACCCAUCACUCUGUCAUGGAAAUGAUCUACUCGUGUGCAGUACUUUACAGCUUGUAUCACGGUCUCCCCUGAACCGUAUAGCAAGAGGGUGGUGGGGGGUGGAAGAGAAGGGUACCAUCUCCACUUUCCCGGCCAGGAGGCCCAAGUUAGGAGGCUUGUCCGAGAUCCCUAGGUCAGCGCACUAUUUAAGGUGAGAAGUUGGGUGGAGAGCUUGGCACCUUGCUCCAGUGUGCACUUUGCGCCUGGCCAUGUUUUAUAAGCAAGGGGGGCUUGGGCUGUUUAAGGGGGAGCAGGGACCGCAGGGCCAGGAAAGGGCAGCAUCCGGCAGGCCGGGGCGUCACGGUGUGUGCCUGGCCUGGGUAAACAACUCCGGCUUCCCACGAGCGCUGGAGGGACCCUGGGCAUGGGGCAGGGGCGUGGGGGAGGGGGGGCAGGGGCGUGGGGUGGGGCAGGGAGCGGGUGGAACAGCGAGGUCAAGCGUGGAGAUUCCAGUUGCGAGUCAGCUCCGCGCCGCGGAGCAAAGACAGGACGUGGAUAAUCUUGGGAGCGAGACGCUGAGCUGAAGAACAGAAAAGAGAGAUAGAGGCAGAAGUGAGGAGAGAGGGACAGGAAAAGAAAAUAAAGGCAGAAAACCAGAGAAAAGAUGAGACGGAGUGCGGAAAAGCAGGCGGGGAUAAAGAAAGGAAAGAUCUGUCGGGGAAAUGCGGGGAGAAGUGGAGGAAAAGAAACAGAAAAUAGACCCAGAGAGAGACCCUGCCACGAAGAAGGCCGCGGGGACGGGCGCGGAGCCGAGGGCCCUGCAGGCACGGAGGGGGCGUCCCGCGGGUCUGGGGGUGUGCGGCUUUGGGACAGGCGAGUGCGUGCUGAGAGAAGGAGGCAGCGUGUUUUGUGGGAGACUCUGCGCCCGUGGAAAAGCGGCUCUGGGCAGGAAUCCAACAAAUAAAUAAAACGUCUAAGACGGCGUGACAACAAUGUGUAUUUGGGUGCGUGCCCGUGUUCCUCUGUCUGAACACAGUCACACCCAGUAAGGAAGACAAACGGGGCUCGUGCCUCACAGUAAUUAAUCCUCUCACUAAUUGACUCUCUCCCCUUACCUAAUGGCGGUGGUCACUGCCGAUAUCUGGAGAGACAUCAAGUAGGGGGAGACAGAGAGAGAGAACCCCAAAGCUAACGACCUUUGGGACUGAGAUUGAGUUUUUUCUGGACUUGGCAGCUCUAAGCCCCUGCCCCCACCUCCACUUUUGGGCAGAGUUCCAUAGAUAUUGCUGCCUUCCUUCCCCCUCCAGGUUUUGGGCAGCAUUAAUAAAGAUCUCCUCAGAUUAGGGUGAUGUGGUUACACACACUGAAGCCCUUCUACCGCCCUCCACCUUGGGAGAUCAGUUUCAGAGGCUGAAAGCCACCCCUGUCCCUGGGACAUUUCUUACCUCCCUGCAAUACCAGCUCCCCCUCCCAUGUUGUUCCCCCAGGGGCCCAGACCCUGCACCCUCUUCUUUCAGGCAGUACUAACUCUUCCAAGGACCUGGGCGGUGUCCCGCAGUCCCCUAAGGCAGGUGAGGUUUUGAACGGGCUGAGAAGCAGUCUGGGGUUGAUGGAAGGAGAGCGGUGGGAGGUCAGGGCAAGGAUGGGGAGAGGCUUCCAGAGACAACCUUCCUCAGACUUGGGUUGAGAGACACAGAGGCGCAGAGAGGCGCAGUUGCCACCAGGCAAGAGAGAGGCCUCUAGGGACAAAGGAGGGAAAGGUGGGCUCUAUGCACUGUGGGAAGGAGCGCCAAGUGUGUGAGAGGCAGGAAGGUGGUCAUGUCUCUGUGACUGUGAGGGUGACAGUUCUGGUCUGUCUGUGUGAGCAUGGGGAAGCCCCCUAUGUUCCCUCACAGCACCCUCAGUUCUCAGACUGGGGAGAAGAGGCAGGGGACUGGUCUGGGACUUGAUGGUCCCCUUGGUAGCUGAGUUGGCUGGAAGGGGUCCAACACCCACAGUCUGUCUGGUAAUGCAGCUUUGAGGCUUAGGUUUGGGAGGUGAAUGUCAACUCUCACCCCUGUGAGGUGGCAGCUUUGCUCUGUUGGCCUCCUCAGAGGCUAAAUAAAGAAAUGCUGAGAUCUAUAAACCACCCAGCCCAGAGAGAAAAAGGAGGGAGGAAGGGCAGCUCCCUAGAAAAAAAUCCACCCCCUCCCCACCACUAAACACAUUUUUAAUUGUCCCUUGGGAACAUUUGUACAUUUGACCAAAGCAAAUCUCAAAGCAGCAGCAGCAAAAUGAGUCAGAGGGGCUGGUGGUCCAGAGAGAGCUGGGGAUUGGAGAUGGGGAGGUGAGGAGAGGUGGCAGGCAUGUUUGGGAAGGUGAGAAACUUGGCUCCUUUCCCACCAUCUCUGUCAAGCUUUAGAAAGAAAGUGAGCAGGAGAAAUAAAGUUCCAGGGGAAAGAAAGAGAAGGGCAUAUAAAAGGCAAAUCCAACCCAGAAAGGAAAGAAAGUGAAGAAGAAAGAAAAAGGCAGGGAGUGGGGAGAGACUAUAAUAAAAGAGGGUGAAGGCGGCCCCAGGAGGCUGGGCCUCGUCCCAAACCAUCCGUCUUCAUUGUCUCCGUGUGUGCAAAGGCAACUCUGGCAUAAGGAAAACCCACUAUUGGAGCCGAGGCUUUAUUUUAUAUCCUAUACAUCAGGAGGGAGGCAAAGCUUUAUUUUCGCCAAGAGACAGAUAUUUUAUUUCUCUCUUACGGUUUUAUGUGUGAGAGAUGUCAGGUUGCCACAAUGGAUGGCUAAUGCAUAGGCAAGAGGAAGCCGUGUUGGCAUGCUGUGUGUCAUGGGGUCUUGGGGGGGUGAGCGGGCCUGGGAUUUAGGGCUGAUGAGACACUCUGGGGGAUUUGUGCUAAAACAUCUCUCUUCAUAAAUCCAGAAGCAUGGUCAGCUCAACAGGGAGAAGAAGGAGUUUUAGAGGGAAAAGAGUUGGGCUUAGUAAUAAAUGAAUACACAAAGGAACCGCUUACCUUCCAACAGGCUCGGGCAACAGGGGCACGACAGCCCCAUGGAAAUGCAGACACCCAUGUCCACGCACACAAGCGCCAUUCACAGGGAAGUAUUUUCCUGACACGAAAUCCAAUGUCAGUUUCCUUUCCUUUCCCCGUUUUAUAUUUUUCCACCCCCCUUCACCAGAAAUCUUUUUUAACCUCCUCAGAGCCUUGGGGGAAAAGAGCCAUUAAUUUGCAAAUCAUCUGAUCUGUGAAAGGAUCAAGAUGCCUGGUUUUCACUGCUAAAUCCAACGUCUUGAGUGGACACAGAGGCACACACAAGCCCGUCAUGCUGCCAACCCUUGGGAGCAUAGGUGCCAGAUCUGAAGCCAAGAAAAGACUCCCUCUCCUCCCGGGACCUGCAGCUGAAUUAAGCCUUAGAUUCCAAACUGCAUAAUGUUCAUAUUUUUAAACCUGGAGAGAAGUGGAGAGAUGAAGGGGGACAAAAAGAGGGGGAACUUUGUUAAUUAACGUGUUCCAUUCAGGACUUAGACUAAUUGUCUUCCCCACUUCCAGCCGCCCCCCAACCCAAGCCAUUUCUUACAGGAGUUGCUUUUAUUCAUUCUCAUGUUCUACUUUUCUCAUUUUUGGAUUAAUAUCUACUUGUUUAAUAUCUACUGUGGCGCAAAAACGUGACCACGCUCUUUCUUUUCAGAGGGUUGGAAGCAGCACAGGAUUCCUAGACAAGGAGCUUGGAGACUUGGCUACACUGUCCCUGGCCAUUGGGGAAGACGUUUACCCUUUCCGGGCCUCAGUUUUCUCAUCUGUAACAUGAGGUGAUUCGGCUAAAUGAUUACUGAGGUCCCUUCCAGCUCCGACCUCCUCUGGCCGAAUGAGAUAAUGUGUGAAAACACUUUGUGAACACUAACACCAGACAGAUGCCAGGGAUCAUUAUUGCAAUUCUAAUCAAUCCUCUUUUCUCCACAUGGAUCUUGGCUGUUUAGUGCCAGCAAGCAGGCUAAAGGGGGCUGAAAGCAAGAAAGCUUAGCGGACAUGGAAAAGCUCUGUGCAGUGGGAGGAAAAAAAAAAAAAACCCUGCAUCUCCAGAAACAUUGUGUCUCUGUGUGCCCCCUGAGGCCUAGUGGGAAGGGUUGGGGAAGAGGAGGCCUGACUUGGUAUGACCCAUUUUGGUCUACAUGGCGGCAGAGAGUGUAUUUCUUCAAAAGCAUUGUUGGUCUCCAAGUGACUGACAUGGGAACCUGAUGGGAAGGCGAUUUGCAAUUGUUUUUUUCCAGGAAGAAAGAAAGAGCAAGGUGUAGCUGAUUAGCAAGUUAAUUAUUUCAGUACCCCAAGGGUUCCAGUGUGGUGGUAAGUUGUCCAGCCCUGGUGUAAUUUCACAGUCUGUGCAUUUCCUGGCGAGCACCUGGGGUGCCCGAGUCUGUCUCUUUCUCCUUCCACCUGCCUUGUGUCUUCCUGACACACCUGGGGAGAUGAGCAGGGGCUGGGGAGGUUGAUGGUACAAGGUACACAUUCGGCUUAGGCUGCGGGUGGGGGCCACGCCAAGAACAGGGUGGAGGAAGCCCAACUGAUGCCAUCUACCUCCGCUGAGUGUUUAAUUAUCUGGCCCUUUCUUCUUUAAAAAAAAAUCUUUUGUUUAAUAAAUAUUAAUGAGGCGGGUUAUCGGAAAGUGUAGUUGCCAUGAGGUUAUUUCCCCAGCCUUAGCAUGGAAAGAAACUGGGUUUGAGGAGCCUUUCGGCCCCUCACCGCCUUCUACCCCCACCAGCUCUCCCGUGCUCACGUUCCGCAGCAGCUCUUCCGGUCUCACUUCAAGAUUUGAUUUCCCCUUGGGGGAGGGUAGGGGAGGGAAGAUCAUGUGGUCAAAUGGACACUUCCCCUCGGAGAGAUAAGUUGGAGAUGUGAACAUUAGCCUCAAGAAUUAACAGCUUCUGCCGCUCUCUGCUCUCGGGGCUGAGAGGGCCAGCCCCCCGCUGCUCCUUCCGCGAUGGAUGAAGGGAGGGCUCUACAGUUUACUUAAGAGUGGUCCCAUCUGCUCAGACUGGCCUUUCAUAAGGGGAGGGAUUUAUGCAGUGUCCUUGUGCACAGACCUGGGAUUUGGCUGAAAACCUUGGGCCUCUGAGAAUAUUACUGAACGCUAAAACGUUCAGCCAUGGAGAUGAUUCAUGAUUUUGUCUGCAUGGACAGUGUGUGUGUGUGUGUGUGUGUGUGUGUGUGUGUGUGUGUUUGUUUGGGGUUGCACGCACAGUGAUGAUGGGUGCUAUUCACCGUUCUCACUUUGAAUCCAAAUGUUAGGAAACUUUUUUUCCUUCUGUAUUCACUCAGGAGACAGGCCCUGGCACCAGGCUCUGGAGACCCCACUUCCUGACUCCAGCGGUGCGAAGAUGAUACAAUACUUUCUGGUGCUGACAUUCAGCUGUCCCCCAAACAGGUUGGCUGAUAGCCCUGCCCGUCCUUGAAGAGGGGCCGAGGGCUGUCUAAAAAGACAGUUCUGAUGACUGCUUCGUUGCUAGUGGCAGAGGAUUUGGGGCACAGGGGUGGAGUUAAGUCCAAUUGCUGUUUAAAUUGGACUUGGCCUCCUUUAUUUUACAGUCCUAAGGGGUCUCCAUAGGAGAAAAAGUAGCGAGAGCAACUUAGAACACAGGAAAGCAAGCAUAGGGAAGAGUUUCUUGUCUCAAUCUUGGUACUGCCGUGCCAAAAUGAAGCCCAGGGAUGGUUAAAAACGGAUCCUAGGGACCGGGCACCUUGGCUCAGGCCUGUAAUCCCAGCACUUUGGGAGAUCAAGAUGGGAGGAUUGCUUGAGGCUAGGAGUUCGAGACCAGCCUGGCCAACAUAGUGAGACCUCAUCUCCAAAAAUAAAAACUUAAAAAAAAAUUUAAAAAACAAAAACAAAAAUACAGAUCCUAGGGAACAGAGCUUUGAGGUUCCCUGUGGGAUCUUGGCCUGACUCUUGGGAGAUGAAGAAGUCCUUGGCAAGUUUGAAAAGAUCUACAAGUGCCAUCUAUUCAGGGGACUAAAUGUGAUUUCUUUUCACCGCCCAGUGGCUGGUAAGGAAGGAAGCAUUUUGCAUUUUCAGCUUGUAGGAUGGUUAUUGGUGGUCCUACCAUCUUGCUCAUGUUCAAGUUUGGUCGUGUAGAUGAAGACCCCAGCUUCCCAGCUCUUAGUUUUUCUUUUCCCUCAGGCCAUUCAUAAUUUAGCUAACAUUCUAGUCCAUUGACCAGCAUGCAUUUUGAAAGGUGAGCUGGCAAGCCUGUAACUGUGUGCAAGGUUGUUCUCAUUUAGGCUCCAGGAAGGAUAUAGUUUCCCCAUAAGAAAGAAAAGUGGGCGAGAGGCUGAGGUGGGAGGUCGCUUGAGUCCGGGAGGCAAAGAUUGCAGUGAGCUGAGAACCAUGCCACUCACUGCCUUCCAGCUUGGGUGACAGAGUGAGACCCCAUCUCGAAAAAAAAGAAAAAAAAGAAAAAGAAAGAAAGAAAAAAAUAAAUAAAACAAGGAACUAUUUAUAUUAAUCUUUUAAUGAAGGAUUUACCAAUCUGAUAAGUACAAAGCUCCUUUUCCUCCUUCUGAAUGAGUAACUAUGUCAGUCAAUGUUGAGGGUCUGCAGAACCUAUACAAAAAUGCUUUCUUUGGUCUCUCAGUUUUAACACAUGCUGGGGCUUGGGCCUGCCUCUGACAGACUGGGGAGGAGUAGACACAUUCCAGAGACCAGGUCUUGGAGUGUUAUCUCUUCCCCCACCUCAAAUCCUCACCCUCCACUUUAUCUGUCUUUAGCACGAAUGCAGAGACCUCCUAGGGAAGUGUGAAGGGAUGGGUUUUCGUCAGGUUUGGGGAAGGAAGGGGAAUAAGAUGAGCCCCAAAGAAAGAUGGGGGUCAUUUGGAAUUUUUAGAUGACACUCUUUUGUUAUACUUUUCUUGUGUUGUGUAUUAUGUCCUACAAAUCGUGCAUUUGUUACAGUAAGCCACAGUGUGUAUGUGUGUUUGCCAAGUGCUACUUGGCCAAAACAGUGUUAAAUAAAAUUGUAAGAAAUGCUACCAGGGCCUUGCAUGGGU